AAAAAUUGUAAUAAAAAAAAAAAGAAAUAUGAAAGGCUUUUUUCUUUGAACGUGUGGUAUUCUCUGUAUCCAUCUAUAUAACAGAGAAGCCAUCAAUGGCUUUUCUUUCAACUUCUUAAACCUUACUCUCGAAGACUCCUCUCUCUAUCUCUUUUCACAUUUUUACGUUCACAAAAAAAAAGCUUCUCUAAGUACGUGAAUAAGAAUCUGAAAGAGCUAAUUUCUCAAGGUAAAGCUUUUUGUUUACUUAUAUAAAUCUGAAGUUUCCAUUAGCUUUUUUAAAGAUAAUUUUUGUUUGAGUCCUUCCAUUGAUCUACGAAGAACUAAGUUUUCUAUGUUGAGCUUAAGCUAAGUGCUUAACUCAGAUUUUCUUAUUCAACCAAAGCUUUUUUUGGGAUAAAUUAUUGAAACUAUAGCUUAGAUAAGUCAUAAGUUUAUGGGAUUCUUAUUCGAACUAUAGCUCAGAUUUGUAAGUUUAUGGGAUUUAAAAACAAUGAAGGUCGUCUUCAAUUGUUUAUGCAUAAGAUCUUGCAAUUCUUGGUUUAUACAAUCUAUUUAUUGUCAAUUGUUUGGUCCAAGAAGUUUUUUUUUUUUUUUCUAAAUUAGUCGGCGGUCCAAUAAUCGUACUAAUAAAAUUUUGCAAUAUUUGGAUUUAACCAAAUUACAUUUUUUAAUUUAAAAUCGUAUAACUCAUUAUUUACAUGA
rnacentral:lncRNA from 1 species